UCAACUCUGAUUUAAUUCGACAUGGUAUUUGGAACGCUGACAGCCUUCUUUUCUUGUUCCAUGGACGGAAUUGCAAGCUAUGACUGUCACUGUUAGACAAGGAGGGCAUGAGGCAUUUGGGUUGUGUUGCUUGGCCUCUGGCUUCUUUUGCAGCUGCAAUUGGCUGCAAAAGCAACCAGCGUUUGCUAGAGGCAGAGGCCUGAGCGGCACCCGCCAAUCAGCUGUUUUGUGAAUGGAGCGGCUCAGCUGAUCCGAUUAAGGGGCCAAGAAGCCGUGAGGUGAACGGGGAAGGGAAGGGCUGCCCCCUAUUCUGGCUGAAGUCACCCCUUCACUAAGACUUAUUUUCGGGGGAGGGUUUAUAUUUUUGCCCACCUCGAAAAUCUGGCAUGGCCUUAGUUUCAGGACAUGUCAUAUUUUCGGGAAACACGGUAGUAACUGUGGUUGUUCCUUUUGCAGUUGAAGGGCUGCCCUACCUCACAGAAGUGAUUACUGGGGAAGCGGAGAAACCAUGGUUGACCCCUACAAAGGGAAAGACACACCUGGGGGGAGAAGGGCCCUUUUGAAGGCUCCCCAGGUGUUUUCCCACCAGAUGCGAUUCCCGGGAAGGGAAGCCUCUAUGGCUGCAUUUGCAUUGCCUGCUCAGCUUGGCUGGUGCCAGGUUAACUUUCCUUGCAGUCAGCCUGUGAAUCCAGCUGUGAACCCUGUGGGGAAUGGAUACAUGUAUGACAUUUACACAAGGACACGCUUUAAUAAAAGCAGAAAAUAACAUAGAAGCCAAUGAAGACUCCGCCAGCUCCUCCAAACACAGCAUAUUCCCAUUUGUCUGGGAAUGUCCUGAAUGUCUAUGGAGAUUCUCUGUCAUCCACGUCAUGGUUGUCCCAAAGGUGAUUUUUCAAGAGGCAGCUGAAUGGGGUUGGACCUCCAAGGAUUUGCAAAGGGGGCUUUGGGGGCUCAGGAGCUGCAGCGAGGACCGCCCCCCGAAUUCCCCGCCCGCCGUGCCUAGGGAGAGACCCCGGGUGGGGGCGGCGAGAAAGGAGGAGAAGAGGGAACCCCCAAGAUCAAAGGUAGCCCCCCCCUCGCCUCACCUCCGGGGGGAGCAAAGCAGCCCUCGGCACUGCGCAGGCGUCCUCUGGCUGGUUGAAGGAAGGCGGAAGCCGAUUGGUCGAUCUGGGUAGGACGGUGAUUGGCAGGAGGACUCUUAGGGGCGGUUCCUUCAAAGGAACAAGAGGAAAUUCUGCAGAAAAAAGGGCGUGAAGCCUCCACUUCCGGAAACGAAACGGGCAACGAGGCAGCUGCCUGAAACGGCGACAGAGCAGCCCGGAUGAUGCAGGUUUGGCGCAGGGGAUGCUGGGAGUUGCAGUCUCGGAGGGUCUCUUCCCGUGAAAGGAAGUCUGGGAGUCCGAGGACUAGUCUGACGGAGGGGCGGACGGAGAAGGACCGUGACAGGCGGAGGGGGGACAAAGGGAGGGGGCAAAAGAGGCAUCUCCAAAAUUAAAGGGAGACCUCCGCCUCACCUCCGGACGGAAAGAAAGCAAUCCUCGGCACUCCGCAGGCGCCCUCUGGCUUGAAUGAAAACGUAAGCCGCUUGGUCUCUCUGGAGAGGCCAGCGAUUGGUAGGAGGACUCUUAGGGGCGGUUCCCCCAAAGGAACAGGCGGAACUUCUGCAAAAAAAACGGCGUGAAGCCUCCAUUUCCGGAAAAGAAAAGGGCAACGAGGGAGCUGCCUGAAACGCCGACAGAGGAGCCCGGAUGAUGCAGGAGGACGAAUGUGCAGGGGGACCCCGGGAAAGGCGGCUGCCUGGAGGGCGAUGCGGGGUCCAGGAAACGGGAGGUGACUCCGAGACGGUCCUGGAGGGCGGAGGGUCCUUCCGAAGAUCCCGGAAUCCCCAAAGGACCCAGGAGGAAGAAGAGAAAUAUCAGUGCCCGGAAUGUGAAAAA